CAGCCGCCGCGGGAAUACGGAGGGUGCAAGCGUUAAUCGGAAUUACUGGGCGUAAAGCGCACGCAGGCGGUCUGACAAGUCAGAUGUGAAAUCCCCGGGCUUAACCUGGGAACUGCAUUUGAAACUGUCAGGCUGGAGUCUUGUAGAGGGGGGUGGAAUUCCAGGUGUAGCGGUGAAAUGCGUAGAGAUCUGGAGGAAUACCGGUGGCGAAGGCGGCCCCCUGGACAAAGACUGACGCUCAGGUGCGAAAGCGUGGGGAGCAAACAGGAUUAGAUACCCGUGUAGUCCCUGUCUCUUAUAA
rnacentral:rRNA from 1 species